CCUACGGGAGGCAGCAGUAGGGAAUCUUCCGCAAUGGACGAAAGUCUGACGGAGCAACGCCGCGUGAACGAUGAAGGCCUUCGGGUCGUAAAGUUCUGUUGUUAGGGAAGAACAAGUGCUAGUUGAAUAAGCUGGCACCUUGACGGUACCUAACCAGAAAGCCACGGCUAACUACGUGCCAGCAGCCGCGGUAAUACGUAGGUGGCAAGCGUUGUCCGGAAUUAUUGGGCGUAAAGCGCGCGCAGGCGGUUUCUUAAGUCUGAUGUGAAAGCCCCCGGCUCAACCGGGGAGGGUCAUUGGAAACUGGGAAACUUGAGUGCAGAAGAGGAAAGUGGAAUUCCAAGUGUAGCGGUGAAAUGCGUAGAGAUUUGGAGGAACACCAGUGGCGAAGGCGACUUUCUGGUCUGUAACUGACGCUGAGGCGCGAAAGCGUGGGGAGCAAACAGGAUUAGAUACCCUGGUAGUCCCACGCUAGUAACGAUAGAGUGCGUAGUAGUUAGGUAGGGUUUACCGGUUCCCGUUUACGUUGUCGUGUAAGUUAACGUACAUUAAGUACACCUCCGCCGUCGGGAGGUACGGUACGGCGAGACGAGUAACGUACGUAAGUUAAGUUAGUAGGUUACGUUGAGAGNGCGACGGACGACGACGAGGAGGAGGAG
rnacentral:rRNA from 1 species